rnacentral:tRNA from 1 species
GCACGAUUCGCGCAUCGAACCCGCAUGACGAUGGCGAUCGAUCUCGUCACGCAUUUAUGCAACCGCUACGGAACCGUGGUCGAUUUCGGCGCGGGACCGGGAUUGUUUC